AUUUAAAUAGUUUAAAUAAAAUAUUGAUUUGUGGUGUCAAUGAUAUGAAUAUAUUCAUUUUAGAUC
rnacentral:tRNA from 1 species